rnacentral:rRNA from 1 species
CAUGCAAGUCGAGCGGUAGCACAGAGAGCUUGCUCUCGGGUGACGAGCGGCGGACGGGUGAGUAAUGUCUGGGAAACUGCCUGAUGGAGGGGGAUAACUACUGGAAACGGUAGCUAAUACCGCAUAACGUCGCAAGACCAAAGUGGGGGACCUUCGGGCCUCAUGCCAUCAGAUGUGCCCAGAUGGGAUUAGCUAGUAGGUGGGGUAACGGCUCACCUAGGCGACGAUCCCUAGCUGGUCUGAGAGGAUGACCAGCCACACUGGAACUGAGACACGGUCCAGACUCCUACGGGAGGCAGCAGUGGGGAAUAUUGCACAAUGGGCGCAAGCCUGAUGCAGCCAUGCCGCGUGUGUGAAGAAGGCCUUCGGGUUGUAAAGCACUUUCAGCGGGGAGGAAGGCGGUGAGGUUAAUAACCUUGUCGAUUGACGUUACCCGCAGAAGAAGCACCGGCUAACUCCGUGCCAGCAGCCGCGGUAAUACGGAGGGUGCAAGCGUUAAUCGGAAUUACUGGGCGUAAAGCGCACGCAGGCGGUCUGUCAAGUCGGAUGUGAAAUCCCCGGGCUCAACCUGGGAACUGCAUUCGAAACUGGCAGGCUAGAGUCUUGUAGAGGGGGGUAGAAUUCCAGGUGUAGCGGUGAAAUGCGUAGAGAUCUGGAGGAAUACCGGUGGCGAAGGCGGCCCCC